UCCGCAUGGUCUCGGGGUUGUAGCGGGAUAAAUUUCCUUUCUACACACUUAAAUUAGGCCAAACUUACGCCGACCAUAGAGUGAGUAUAAGAGCCAAGUUAUCACUGAUGCUUAACUAUUUAUAAAGACGUUCACCCGUUGUCAGCAUACUUGAUCUUGAUGAAGUAAACACAAUUCUAAUGUCUGCUGAUAUGUCUGUUCCGAGGGUAAUGCAAUAUAAGAUCAAAGGAACAUUGCUGUUAUCUCCCAACUAGCAAUGGUCAUAAUGGUGGCCCUCGCCCUCACGACACUGGCCAGUGUCCACGCAACUUCUCCCAAUGUUCGGGUCAAGAGAAGGCCUGUAGAUCAACCACAUGAAGGAAUGUGCUCCAACUUCUGGUGGGGUGGAAUUUCUAAAGUUCACUUUUACACCUGCUGUAACAACCUGGAUGAAGGUCCUAAUCCCUAUUGCGAUGGUCGCACCUAUCACAGAGCAUCUAAUGGAUCCUACUGUAAACCUGGUGGGUUUGACGGCGGGAACGGUGAACAACAUGAAUCUUACCGUUGUGGAGGAUGUGAUGGACAGGCCCGGGUAGCUGAGAAAUGCGAGCCAUGGCCUUCACUGGAUGUUGUAGGAACAUGCUGGGUAUUCACUAAGUGCUUCACAGACUUCUGCGAAAAGCGGUACCGAGUGAAUGGGUUAAACCUUGCAGUAAGGGAUAGGCCAGGAAUGCCAGACACCUGCUACAACGGAAAGUGUGAUGUCGGAGAAACUACAGACAACUGCCCAGUCGACUGCUGCUACACGAAAAACAAACAGUGUACCUGGGGUAACAAAUGUACGCAGCUAUUUUGUGCCACCCCGUCUUGUGGGGUGGGGUGGAGUGGAGGUGAUGGUGUGUUUACAGCUGGGACAUAUGGCAUCAAGAUCCUGGCUGCCGCUGUGCUAGUGCUGGGUGUCUCCAUUGUUUAUUUUUUCAGAAGGAAGAGGCAAUACAAGCGGGCACAGUCACACAAUGUUUAAAACAGAUUUUCUCUUGAUGAAUGUUUGAUAAAUGUACGUUAAUAGAUUUUUAACAAUUUGUAAAUAUGUUGCUUUCAACAAUAACUUAAUAUUCACAACGAUCGCUUCGGUAACAUGAAGUGAUAUGUAACAUUCUUAGUAUUUUCUUCUUUGAGAAAUAUUUUAGAAGUUGUGAAGAUGAAGGAAAACUUCUUUGGACAGUCAACCUCUGUGUUUCGGUGUAGUUACUAACACCGUUAUUAAGGAAGUGAUAAAAAGAGUUGAAAGAAGGAGAAUAUAUACAUAGCUGCAUUGUGAGUAUAUACAAUUGACAAGGUAGAUGUACAUUGUGAGUAUAUACAAUUGACAAGGUAGAUGUAGCAUUGUGAGUAUAUACAGUUGACAAGGUAGAUGUACAUUGUGAGUAUACAUAAUUGACAAGGUAGAUGUACAUUGUGAGUAUAUACAGUUGACAAGGUAGAUGUACAUUGUGAGUAUAUGCAAUUGACAAAGUAGAUGUACAUUGUGAGUAUAUACAGUUGACAAGGUAGAUGUACAUUGUGAGUAUACAUAAUUGACAAGGUAGAUGUACAUUGUGAGUAUAUACAGUUGACAAGGUAGAUGUACAUUGUGAGUAUAUACAAUUGACAAAGUAGAUGUACAUUGUGAGUAUAUACAGUUGACAAGGUAGAUGUACAUUGUGAGUAUAUAAAAUUGACAAGGUAGAUGUACAUUGGACAUCUAAUUAAUGAUUUGGGCAGAGUAGGUUGAAGUACACUGUGAUUGGUUGUGAUUAGAGGUUGAGUUUAUACAA
rnacentral:misc_RNA from 1 species